GUCUGGGUGAAGUUUGUCCCUCUGCAGCCAUGGUAGCCCUCUGAUGUCAUGGUGCCCAGCUGGCUGCUCAGUGAUUAACAAUUCAUUAGCGGCCAGGCUGGGUGCUAUAUAACAGUCUUCACUGUUUGGUUAAGAGAGAUUCCCUGGUCUACAGUUUUGUUGCAGUUUGGAUGUGUGGCUCUUUUGUGUAAUCAAGGUGUUGGACCGAUUGCCAGACGCUUCCAGGUAGUCGUGCGGUGUACUACUGAAGGUCUUGGGCAAGGCACCUGCCGUGUAGCUGUACCACAAUUAAGUCACAGCAUCUAAAAGGUAAACAUUUGUCAUGGCUAACACACUG